UCCAGAUCCUCUUAUUGCAUAUUGUACUUGAAUGGACUCUCAUUGCCAAAGAUUUGAUUAAGUCUUCACAGCUAUAUCUACAAACCUUAAAAGCUUAUCCCGAUACUCUGAGACCAUCAAGGAUUAUUCGAACAAUAAACCACAUCAAGCACUGUUCAGCUACAGAUAAAUUUAAUGCCGUAGCUAUUAUCUUACUCAUUGACUGAUUAAUUGGUUGAUGGAUUCAUUCAUUGAAAAAUUGUUUCAUAAGCAACACUGUAUUCUGGAUGCUAGCUGUAUCAGGAGCUGGAGAAGAGUACAUCCUUUUAAGGAGAUAAACAACAGUUAAGUCUGGGAUGGCAGAAAAAUUUCUCAAAGAGAAACAGAAAUAUGUUACACAUGUAUGGUACUUUAUAUGGUAUUAACUUUCUGUACAAGACCAGUCAUUAAAUCCUGCCUCAAAUGA